AGGCAGAAAAAAAAGAAUCAAGAAUGUCAGCACAACCUUGGGAAGACUGUCAAAUAGAGGGUGGAAGUUGUGGGGUAUCAGCCUUCAAACCAACUGUGACACUCAAGGAGGCUACAUAGGACCUGAGCUGUAAGAAUGCUACAGGAGGCUCUGAAGACUGCUAAUGUUGAUGAACGGUUCACCUUAUCUUUCACCUCGAUAGCUGGUAUUUUUCGGUUCCCCCACGGGAUCUGGUGUCCCAAAACAGGCUUGAGUUUCGUUGACCCUUCAUGUCUGUGUGAGGCCGAUUCCCCACAUGUAUGACCUACUAAGGUUAGAACAAUAGAGAUUCUCUAGGAGGGAAACACUCCUCUCCUUUUUACGA